GAUGAACGCUAGCUACAGGCUUAACACAUGCAAGUCGAGGGGCAGCAUGGGGCAGCAAUGUCCCGAUGGCGACCGGCGCACGGGUGAGUAACACGUAUCCAACCUGCCCAUGACCAGGGAAUAACCCGCGGAAACGCGGCCUAAUGCCCUAUGUGCUCCGAAGAGGACAUCCGAUUUGGAGUAAAGAUUGAUCGGUCAUGGAUGGGGAUGCGUCCGAUUAGGUAGUAGGCGGGGCAACGGCCCACCUAGCCUGCGAUCGGUAGGGGUUCUGAGAGGAAGGUCCCCCACAUUGGAACUGAGACACGGUCCAAACUCCUACGGGAGGCAGCAGUGAGGAAUAUUGGUCAAUGGGCGAGAGCCUGAACCAGCCAAGUAGCGUGCAGGAUGACGGCCCUAUGGGUUGUAAACUGCUUUUAUGCGGGGAUAAAGUGCUCCACGUGUGGGGCAUUGCAGGUACCGCACGAAUAAGGACCGGCUAAUUCCGUGCCAGC
rnacentral:rRNA from 1 species